GAUGAAGAACGUAGCGAAAUGCGAUAAGUAGUGUGAAUUGCAGAAUUCAGUGAAUCAUCGAAUCUUUGAACGCACAUUGCGCCCUUUGGUAUUCCAAAGGGCAUGCCUGUUCGAGCGUCAUUUGUACCCUCAAGCUUUGCUUGGUGUUGGGCGUCUUGUCUCUAGCUUUGCUGGAGACUCGCCUUAAAGUAAUUGGCAGCCGGUCUACUGGUUUCGGAGCGCAGCACAAGUCGCACUCUCUAUCAGCAAAGGUCUAGCAUCCAUUAAGCCUUUUUUUCAACUUUUGACCUCGGAUCAGGUAGGGAUACCCGCUGAACUUAAGCAUAUCAAUAAGCGGAGGA
rnacentral:misc_RNA from 1 species